GAUGAACGCUAGCUACAGGCUUAACACAUGCAAGUCGAGGGACCGGCGCACGGGUGAGUAACACGUAUCCAACCUGCCCUUUACUCGGGGAUAGCCUUUCGAAAGAAAGAUUAAUACCCGAUAUAAAGGAUGGGGAUGCGUUAUAUUAGGUUGUUGGUGAGGUAACGGCUCACCAAGCCUUCGAUGGAUAGGGGUUCUGAGAGGAAGGUCCCCCAGAUUGGAACUGAGGCACAGACCAAACUCCGAGGGGAGGCAGCAGUGAGGAAGAUUGGUCAAUGAGCGCUAGCCUGAACCAGCCAAGUAGCGUGAAGGAGUAAGGCUUAUGGGUCGUAAACUUCUUUUAUAUAAGAAUAUGUAUUAUAUGAAUAAGGAUCGGCUAACUCCGUGCCAGCAGCCGCGGUAAUUC
rnacentral:rRNA from 1 species